ACCUCCUUAGCAGCUCUAAUUUUCAGUGUAAGAUGUUGACGGGUCAAGAACUAGGCUCUGAGCUGUUCCACUGUAUCCUGUUAGGUAUUAUUGGGCUGAUGAUGGAAGGCUCAAAAAUUUGUCUUAAUUUAGACUUCACAUGUUCUUUUCAUACAUUAUGAGAUGCUACUUAUGCCAUCUGAACCAAACAGCUAUAAUAGCUAAAUAUGG
rnacentral:misc_RNA from 1 species